CACGCAUUUUGCCAUAAAUGCUUGUUCUUUAAAGAUUACUUUCUGGAGGGUAGAUGCAGGGAUCUUCCAUCUCACGAUUGCCCAGGACAUUGCUGCUGUUUGUGAAUGCCAGGCUCUGGAAACAUGGCCUUCCUAACACCUUCCCAUCAUGCCAGAAGCUGCAGAAGCUCUGGCCCCUCUUGGCCCAAUUCAAUUGAACCCAUGAAGGUUCUGAUUUCUCCUGCCACUUCUAGACUCCAAUGCAGACUCCAAGGAAUUGGCAGUCCACAGGGUGGGACGUGGCCUCCGCAGCAGCUGCCCAAAGAGGCCAGGUGAUACCACCUGGAAGUGCAUAGACUGAACUCCCUGAGGCAAACACCAACCAACAGGAGAGAAAUGAGAUGGGAGAAAGGUUAUGGUGCAAUCCAUUCCCUUCCACCCUCCAAUGGACUAUUCCAACAUGUGUUUUCUGUAUGUACAGCCUGUCUGGUGCUGUCCUGUCUGAGUGGGUAUCAUACUCUUCACAGUUCAUGAAGUGGUGCUCAGCUUGGUAAUAUGCCAAUUUCCAUUUGUUUUCCAACCUUCUCUCUCUUGUUCCCUUUUCGCUCUUUCUCUAUCCCAGGAUAUCACCUUUCAAUAAAACCUUACCACUU